CCUGCCAUUGAAGCUCUUUAUUGGCUGAACACACCAGAUCCAGGUAAUCAACACCAGGUGAGGCAGGAUUUCUUAAAAACCAGCAGGAGGUUGUCCCUCGAGGCCUGGAGUUUGACACCCCUGCUUUAAAU
rnacentral:snoRNA from 1 species